rnacentral:misc_RNA from 1 species
AACGCACGAGACCUGCGGUCCUGCGGAAGGAUCAUUAAUGAGAAGCUGCCCCUCGUGGGUAGACCUCCCACCCUCUGUGAACUUACCUUUGUUGCUUUGGCAGGCCCGUCCUCUGGACCGCCGGCUUCGGCUGGCCCGUGCCUGCCAGAGGAUUCCAAACCCUGUCUGUCAGUGUUGUCUGAGUCUAUAUGAAAUCGUUAAAACUUUCAACAAUGGAUCUCUAGAUCGGAAGAGCACACG